GAGGUCCGCCGGUAACGCGGGUCCCGUUUUUACCAUGCGGAGAACAGCCGGCUGAACGGAAAACGACGAAAGGCGUAAUCAAGUUUCGGAUUAUAUCCAUCUGAUUUUUCUCGGCGCACCUCUCUCCGCGCAUACCUGUCGUAUCUUUCUAUAUAGCGGCCAAGUCAUUGUCGAUCCAGCUUCGUUUUCGUUCUUCAUCGUGAAAACGGAACGUUUCUAUCCAGGAUGCAUAGAAGUGGUUGGUGAAGUGCGUCGAGAACCUCCGCUCGAAUAAUCGAAGUUGCAGGAUAAAACAGCGCGGUUAAUUAUCUAACGAUUGGUAAUUGCUCACUUCGAUGGCCGCUCGAUUGCUUCCUCGUUCCUUCCCAGUCUUCUCUGUCCAAUGGCUCGCUUUGUGUAACGCGCUUGUGUUAGAGAACGGAAAACGGAAGAAGAAAAAAAAGUAAAUCCAUCGAUUGAUAUGCCGGUUGGGUUGCUUAGUCACUCGGUUGGACAAUUAGUCGUCCAGUAAAGUAACUCGUGUACAGGAUAAACGAACGGCUCGAUUAAAACAUGAUAAGCAUUAAUCGGUGAGUUCUAUGUCAUUCGAGCAGGCCAGCUAAAUUAUUAAUAAGUCUUGAUUCGCGAACAAAAAGCACGCUUCCUGCUUUCUAAUCGGCCCGUGUUUUAGACCUCGUUCCUCGUGUCCGUGUUUCUUCGUUUUACAGACUUUAUCCGCCAUUAUUCGAAUGCACAAU